AAAAAUAACCUAAUUGCAGGUCUCAAAGCUUUGCGCUUUGGGAUAAUCAAACGGGAACGCGGUCAAAAGCCGUGACGGACGCGCCGCUGUAGGCGUCUGAUUCCCCCCAUCUUGUUUUCACAAGAAAACAGGGGGGAAAAUCCGAGGGACAUUAAUCCGCCGCAAGUCAGGCGGAUUUAUCCACUAUCCGCAAUAGCCGGAUGGGAAGGAGUCCUAAGGUAAGACGCAAGUCAGAAAACCUGCCUGUGGUUAGUUGCACAU
rnacentral:ncRNA from 2 species